rnacentral:rRNA from 1 species
UACGAAGGGGGCUAGCGUUGUUCGGAAUUACUGGGCGUAAAGGGCGCGUAGGCGGUGUGUCAAGUCAGGCGUGAAAGCCCCGGGCUCAACCUGGGAACCGCGCUUGAGACUGGCAGACUCGAGUUCGGGAGAGGAUGGUGGAAUUCCCAGUGUAGAGGUGAAAUUCGUAGAUAUUGGGAAGAACACCGAUGGCGAAGGCAGCCAUCUGGACCGACACUGACGCUGAGGCGCGAAAGCGUGGGGAGCAAACGGG